CCUACGGGAGGCAGCAGUGAGGAAUAUUGGACAAUGGAGGCAACUCCUGAUCCAGCCAUGCCGCGUGCAGGAAGACUGCCCUAUGGGUUUGUAAACUGCUUUUAUACAGGAAGAAACCUCCCUACGUGUGGAGAUUUGACGGUACUGUAAGAAUAAGGAUCGGCUAACUCCGUGCCAGCAGCCGCGGUAAUACGGAGGAUCCAAGCGUUAUCCGGAAUCAUUGGGUUUAAAGGGUCCGUAGGUGGAUAAUUAAGUCAGAGGUGAAAGUCUGCAGCUCAACUGUAAAAUUGCCUUUGAUACUGGUUAUCUUGAGUUAUUAUGAAGUAGUUAGAAUAUGUAGUGUAGCGGUGAAAUGCAUAGAUAUUACAUAGAAUACCAAUUGCGAAGGCAGAUUACUAAUAAUCUACUGACACUGAUGGACGAAAGCGUGGGUAGCGAACAGGAUUAGAUACCCUGGUAG
rnacentral:rRNA from 1 species